UACAGAGGGUGCGAGCGUUAAUCGGAAUUACUGGGCGUAAAGCGCGCGUAGGCGGCCUUUGCAAGUCGGGUGUGAAAUCCCCAGGCUUAACCUGGGAACUGCAUUCGAGACUGCAUUGCUAGAGUAUGGGAGAGGGAAGUGGAAUUUCCGGUGUAGCGGUGAAAUGCGUAGAUAUCGGAAGGAACAUCAGUGGCGAAAGCGACUUCCUGGACCAAUACUGACGCUCAUGUGCGAAAGCGUGGGGAGCAAACAGG
rnacentral:rRNA from 1 species